GACGUAGGGCGCGAGCGUUGUCCGGAUUUAUUGGGCGUAAAGAGCUCGUAGGCGGCCUGUCGCGUCAGCUGUGAAAACCCGCGGCUUAACCGUGGGCUUGCAGCUGAUACGGGCAGGCUAGAGUUCGGUAGGGGAGACUGGAAUUCCUGGUGUAGCGGUGAAAUGCGCAGAUAUCAGGAGGAACACCGGUGGCGAAGGCGGGUCUCUGGGCCGGUACUGACGCUGAGGAACGAAAGCCAGGGGAGCAAACGGG
rnacentral:rRNA from 1 species